GUCUACGGCCAUACCAACCUGAACGUGCCCAAUCUCGUCUGAUCUCGGAAGCUAAGCAGGGUCGGGCCUGGUUAGUACUUGGAUGGGAAAAAGUGAACGAGUGAGACACGUGAUGCUGGGCU
rnacentral:rRNA from 1 species